rnacentral:lncRNA from 1 species
CUAAAUAACAUGUAUCUUCAAAUCGUUAGCUCUUCAAAUUAAUCUUAAGCACUAUGUUGGAAUGGACCACUAAUGAAUCUUGGAAAAUUGCACUCAAAUAGCAGGAGAAUCACACUACCAAUUAUUAGAUCUUGAACUAUUAAUUAAACUUAAUGUAAUGGACACUUCAAACUUAAACUAAUGAAUGCUCAAACCAUCGGGAAGCAAGUUUAUGCAACUAAAAUGGGAUGCAGAAUGUGAAUUAACUGUGACAGACCCAAAGUUCGAAUUAAUGCCUUUGAACCAUGGAAAAACCAAAUAGCUUCAACUAAUCAACUAAAAUCCUAUUUCCUUAAUCAAAUAAACACGUUUAAAAGACCAAACAGUCCUAAGUCAUUACAUUCAAACAAAUUCAACUCCAAAUCUUAAAGUGAAAUACAACAUUAACGAUAUAAAUAACUACAUAUAAUAACUACAUCAGAGAAUACAUGGAGAAAUUCUAGGGAAAUCCAAUAAGCAUUUGACAAAGAAACAUGUAGCCACUCCAACUUGGUUGCAUAACCUUCAGCUCUACAUUUCAUACAUGAUUCAAGAAUCCAUACAUACCUGGAAUUGAAGGAAGAAAUAAGAGCGCAAGGAGUUAAUCAAAGCAGCAAUACAGUCAGCCCAAAAACAGCAAAGAUGAGAUAUCAAAUUUCAUUUGAAUGAAUUUGAAACUCCAAAUUUGAUUAACUUCAAACACAAAACUCAAUCCAAAAUCAGUUUGCAGAAAACAACCAAAUUCAACUCAUUCUAAGCCUCAGACGAAUCAGAGAAUGUUUCAGGACUUGAAAAACUUCAGAAAGCAAAGAAAAAAGUACAAUAAUUCAAUGGAACAGUGAAAAAUUUAGCCGUAUGCUUUUUUUCAGUAUUUUUCC